CAGCCCCCACGCGGCACAGCAGGAGCCCAGGGCUCAGCGUCAGGGCGGCGGUGGCGCCCUCAAACCAAACCGCAUUUGCCUGAAGCUGUUCCACCAGGUGUGCUGGUUCCAGGCCAGGUCCUCAGGCUUCAAGGAUUGGUUUUCUAUAAUGGUUUUCCUAAGGCCAAACCGCAUUUGCCUGAAGCUGUUCCACCAGGUGUCCUGGUUCCAGGCCAGGUCCUCAGGCUUCAAGGAUUGGUUUUCUAACAUUUAAUGGUUUUAACACAUCAUUUGUAAAACCCAAAACAUUUAGAAGUAAAUUCGCCCCUGAAAAUGUAAACAAAGACAGACACUGUGGCAGGGGCACUUCCUGAGAUCCUUUGUGGCUGUUGGUUUGUCUCACAAGCUCAGACGUACGUAUGUGAGUGUGUGUGUGUGUGUGUGGGGGAGACCACGAUGCUGUACCUGUGCGUGCGUGUGUGUGUGCGUGUGUGUGAGUGUGUGUGUGAGGGAGACCGCGAUGCUGUACCAGUCUUUCCACUCUGCCUCUUUCUCUUCCACCCACUUAGGGUGUUUACUAAGUGCAGCCGACCACGUGGUGUGUCCUACGACACGGAUGCUGGUGUGACACCAGCAGCGUGGGGGGGACUGUCAGCUUCUGGUCACUGCCCGUGUGCCAAAGCGGGAACUCAGCCUCACGUGCUGCUCAGAACCAGACGCUCCCUUUAGGCAGAGGUUCAAUUCUCUUUCCUAAAGUUGUGAAUAUUGAGACUAAUGAACAUAGUAGCUCGAUAAUUUAAAUGUAUAUUUAUUUUUAAUGGAAGGAUUUUGAUUAGAAAGAAGCUACUUGACAUGGGAAUGUCAGUGAAAUUUCCUACUUGCCAGGGACACAAACAUUUUGUAUGUAUGUAAAACUCUAAUGUGCACAUUUUAAAAAUAAAGAAAUCUAAUGUUUGAAAACAUUGUGAUUCUUUUGGAAUAAGAGCUGGCGUUACCAGCGACGGGUGUUGGGCAGGCUGCUGGCCAGGGUCUCCUCCAGUGUAGGGACUGGACAUCCGAAAUGGUAGGCUUGCUUGCUUUUUUUUUUCUUAAUCUUAUGGCCCCACCACGACAUGUGGAAGUUCCCGGGGCCAGGGAUUCAAUCCAAGCUGCAGCUGUGGCAACACCAGAUCCUUUGACCCAUUGCGCCGGGCCGAGGAUCGAACCCACCCCUCUGCAGCACCCUGACCUGUUGCAGUCAAAUUCUUAACCCACUGCACCACAGCAGGAACUCCUGAAAUUCUAGUUUCUUAUGAACCACAGGCCAAGAGUCAGUGGGAAGUGAAAGACGGGCAGUGAGGGAGCAGAUCUGGGGCUGAGCUGGACUGAGCGCCGGGACAGCAGCCUCGGUUCCCCGCACGGAAGCGGGCAGGUGGUGGGGCUCAGAUGAUGCACGUGAAUCUCCCCAAAAGGGCACCUCUGAGGACCCCAGGUGAAGGGUGCCACCAGCCUCAGCUCUCACUGGGCACAGCUCUCCCAGGCUGCCCCUCUGCCGCCAGACCUGAAUGGCGUGCCUCGUGCCCACGGCUUUGCCCUGACACGUGCGCCACCUCGGGUUCUGGACUAGGGUCAUUUCUCCUCCCCCCGCCCUCCCCUGUUGUGCAGUGGGGGACCUCCAGUAGUCGUGUGUGUGGCUUUUAGGGAGACCGCUUGGCUGCCCUUUUGCCUUCCCAGGCGGCCGCUGGGCGUGCCAACCAGCCGGGGUGUGAGUGAUCAGUGGGCGCCCUGCCUGCCAGCCUGGGUCUGUGUGGGGCUGGUGUAGGCUUACCAUCCGGUAGCCGGUCAUCCAGGGUCUUGGCCCUCACAGCCCUUGGGUCCUUCUGAGGAGUUCUGUUGGGGGCGCCCGGGUGCCCUUCCUCCUGGCUGUCCUGGGGGAGUGGGCCUGGGGCUGGGCCUGGAGGGCAUUGUGGGUUGGGGGUGGAGGGCAGAAAGUUUCUUAGGCCUAAAGCAGCAGUUGAACCGGGCAGCACCUGGAGCCCGAGCCUCAGCAGAAGCCUGGGCUGGAGGCCACUGGGGCCAGAGGACCUGCAGCCUGGGCGCUGCCCUUGCAGGAGGCCGUGAGCGGGAAGGAGCGGGAGCGGCGGGGUGGAACCCCCGCUUGGGGCGA
ensembl:lncRNA